UUUUUUUUUUAGCUUUAUCUGUUGAAUCUCCAGUGCCUUCAGUGUAAAAAUAAUCUUUCUGCCCAAGUGGCCUAUUUUGGGGUGGCAUAUUCUAAUCCCCGUCCACCGGCAGACAGCAUUUUGCCCCCAUCCCCCCAGCUCCGUUUAUUUGCCUUAGGGUCUUACCCCAAGUACAGGAAUCCAUACCUUCCAUGGGCACCUGUUCUGUGCAGACGCCCUUGACCUUGAGUACCAGGACGGGAUUAGAAUGUGACGAGGGAGACAAGCCAGAGAGCCACAAAGAACAGACAGUGAGAGAGCAGACAGCUCCAUCCAUGCUGCUUUAGGAUUUGGGGAAUUUUCCAGGGAUUGUCAAAGCUCCAUAAAGCCAAGUUCCUUUUGACUUCCGAGGAGCUGGGCGUGGGGUCUUGGAAGCCUGCAGAAAACCUCUUAGCUGUUCCCCUGCAAAUGUACUUGACUUCUCAAGCUGCAUUCCAGAGGACUUCACCCUGAGGACUUUUUUUUCUUUUACAAAAAACCUGUUCUGGAGGCUGCGUGGGAGCCUGGCUGGAAGAAGGAACCGGCUCUGCCAGCCCCGGCGCCUGUGCUGGAGCCCGGCGAGCAAGGUCAGCCGGUGGCCGGCCACGUCCAUGGCCACGUCCCUGAUCAGGAAGGGGUUGCAGGCCCCCGGCUGGAGCAGGAGGGUAAGAGCCUGGCUCUGUGGGACCUGAGAAAGGCUCGGGGCAGGACAUGGGGCGGAGGGGCAGCCUGGGUCCUGAGGUGGUGGUGGGGGGGCGCUGUCAGCAGGGCUGGGCUCCAGAGCUGGCUGAUGAUUAACGGAAAGUGUGCCAGGCAGGGAGGCCACCUCGCUGUGCACAGCCGGCCCUGUGACGUGAGCAACUUCCUGGUAACAGGUGAGCACGGUCUGGAUUCCCAGUGGCUGACAGAUUGCUUCCUGCCUUUCUGUGGGGAGAGCACAGAGGCAAGAGAGAGGCCUUGGGGGAACGGAGACCCUUCGCUGAGGCCCCGAGGGGUGGACCCCCGGCCCCCGCCGAGGUGAGGAAGACUAUGCGAGAUGGAGGGCAGCUGCCGAGGCGUGCUGGCUGCGCUGGUCGUUCUGGCUGGGCUGGCAGGUAGGGACCUCGGGGCUUGGUGGAAAGUUCCUGGGCAUCCCAGCUGCAGUGGGUGAAGGGACUCGGAGGAGGCCACCAGGGUGUGUGGCUGACAGAAGAUGCUGAGCCCUCUUCCCACCCCCGACCCUGCCUCCUUGUGGGCUCCACUCCGGAAGGGUCCUGCAGGAGCUCCUGACCCCACCUCUCCUCCUCCAUCCCGGUCCUUGAUCCCGGAGGCUGCUUUGGCACCUUUCUCUUCCGUUUCUAUCUGGUCUUCAGGGAAGACGUGACGCCGGCGUCACCUCUUCCCUGAAGCCUUCCUGAGCUUGCAGUUUUCCGGGUGAUAUCCCAGUUCCCAUUACUGACAGAGCGAGGGACCUGUUGCCUGUGAGACCUCCCAGUUGUCCCCACAGCUCCUCUUCGUCCCGGAAGGUUCCCAGAGUCUCGGUGGAAAUGGACUCCAGGUGUCCCAGGCCAGGGUCUCAGAUCAGAGUUGCAGGAGACGGGGAGAUGGAGCAUGCCAACCCCGGGGGUCAUCGGGUAACGAGAGCUUAUACCCCAGCUUUCUUU
rnacentral:lncRNA from 1 species